rnacentral:lncRNA from 1 species
GAUCUGCAAAUUUUUAGGAAAAGGAGGCAGAAGCUCUACAGGAGCUCCUCCAGCAUGGCUAGCCUUCUUUCUUACACUGCUCCUCUUCCUGGGGAGCUGGCAUUGUGGAAGCCCCAUGUCCUGCUCCUGGGACAGCGGGCAUAGCCCUGCCACAACAGGGAAGCUGGGCAAGCCUGUCAAGAGUUUUCAAGGGCUACAAGCUAAGCAGCUGAAGGAAGACCCACUCAAACAUAAUUCCAAGUUGUCUCGUCUUCCCAAAGCCACUCUUGCAGUUCUCCCUGGGUGGAGCCUCAAGCAGCUGUCAUGGUUUAUACAAAACUCUCAUUAA